UACGUAGGGUGCAAGCGUUGUCCGGAAUUAUUGGGCGUAAAGAGCUCGUAGGCGGUCUGUCGCGUCUGCUGUGAAAACUCAGGGCUUAACCCUGAGCUUGCAGUGGGUACGGGCAGACUAGAGUGCGGUAGGGGAGACUGGAAUUCCUGGUGUAGCGGUGAAAUGCGCAGAUAUCAGGAGGAACACCGGUGGCGAAGGCGGGUCUCUGGGCCGGAUACUGAC
rnacentral:rRNA from 1 species